UACGGAAGGUGCAAGCGUUAUCCGGAUUCACUGGGUUUAAAGGGUGCGUAGGUGGGCAGGUAAGUCAGUGGUGAAAUCUCCGGGCUUAACUCGGAAACUGCCAUUGAUACUAUCUGUCUUGAAUACCGUGGAGGUUAGCGGAAUAUGUCAUGUAGCGGUGAAAUGCUUAGAUAUGACAUAGAACACCAAUUGCGAAGGCAGCUGGCUACACGAAUAUUGACACUGAUGCACGAAAGCGUGGGGAUCAAACAGG
rnacentral:rRNA from 1 species